GACAGAGGGUGCAAACGUUGUCCGGAUUUAUUGGGCGUAAAGAGCGUGUAGGCGGCCUUACAGGUCAGAUGUGAAAGCCCCGGGCUUAACUCGGGAAUUGCAUCUGAAACUGCUGGGCUUGAGUUCUGGAGGGGGUAGUGGAAUUCCCAGUGUAGCGGUGAAAUGCGUAGAUAUUGGGAGGAACACCUGCGGCGAAGGCGGCUACCUGGACAGAAACUGACGCUGAGGCGCGAAAGCUAGGGGAGCGAACGGG
rnacentral:rRNA from 1 species